rnacentral:snoRNA from 1 species
UGGCCCAAUGAUGAUCAAAAGAUGUGCUUAGAGAGAACAGGACUAACAUUUCAAGGUCCAGGCAUUUCUGUGCUUUUCCUUGCCCUAUCUUUCUCUCCUUCCUUCUUUCCUUCAACUUUUUUUCUUUAACUUUCUUUGUUUUUCUGCCUAGACUGAGAUUGUGUGUCCUUCUCAAUGACGGUAAGAUUAUGAGAUCUGAGGGCUA